AUUGAACGCUGGCGGCGUGCUUAACACAUGCAAGUCGAUCGGUAACAGGUGUAGCAAUACAUGCUGACGAGAGGCGGACGGGUGAGUAAUGCUUGGGAAUCUGCCUAUUAGUGGGGGACAACCCGGGGAAACUCGGGCUAAUACCGCAUACGCUCUACGGAGGAAAGCCGGGGACCGCAAGGCCUGGCGCUAAUAGAUGAGCCCAAGUCGGAUUAGCUAGUUGGUAGGGUAACGGCCUACCAAGGCGACAAUCCGUAGCUGGUCUGAGAGGACGACCAGCCACACCGGAACUGAGACACGGUCCGGACUCCUACGGGAGGCAGCAGUGGGGAAUAUUGGACAAUGGGGGCAACCCUGAUCCAGCGACGCCGCGUGGGUGAAGAAGGCCUGCGGGUUGUAAAGCCCUUUCGGUGGGGAAGAAAAGUCUCGACCUAAUACGUCGGGACCUUGACGUAACCCCACUAAAGAAGCACCGGCUAACUCUGUGCCAGCCGCCGCCGUAAG
rnacentral:rRNA from 1 species